rnacentral:rRNA from 1 species
AGCAGUCGCCACGGUAAUACGUAGGGUGCAAGCGUUAAUCGGAAUUACUGGGCGUAAAGCGUGCGCAGGCGGUUUCGUAAGACAGAUGUGAAAUCCCCGGGCUUAACCUGGGAACUGCAUUUGUGACUGCGAGGCUAGAGUGUGUCAGAGGGGGGUGGAAUUCCACGUGUAGCAGUGAAAUGCGUAGAUAUGUGGAGGAACACCGAUGGCGAAGGCAGCCCCCUGGGAUAACACUGACGCUCAUGCACGAAAGCGUGGGGAGCAAACAGGAUUAGAUACCCGCGUAGUCCCUGUCUCUUAUAC